rnacentral:tRNA from 10 species
CUCUCCCGCCGGGAAUUGAACCCGGGUCUCAAGCGUGACAAGCUUGCAUACUGACCACUAUACUACGGAAGA